rnacentral:tRNA from 2 species
GCGGGCGUGGUGGAAUUGGUAGACGCGCUGGAUUCAAAAUCCUGUUCCGAAAGGAGUGCCGGUUCGAUUCCGGCCGCCCGCACCA